ACGUAUCGAUAACUCGGUCCGGUAGAGCAUGAGACUCCUAAUCUCAGGGUUGCGGGUUUGAACCCCAUUUUGCGCA